rnacentral:lncRNA from 1 species
UUAAAAUCUUUUUCCAUUUGCUUAUUUUGUGAUUAAAUGUGACGAUUUUCCUGGUUCCACAGACCAGCCUGGCUGCGUGUGACCAUGAGACAGACUUGUAGCUCCUGAGAAGAUGGAAAUAGGAGAGUUCAGGGAACGAGCACGGUAGACGUGAUUGCUCUGGUCACUGUCUGAACCUGUGGAGGAGACCAUCAGUCUUCCCCGGAGACCAGAGCACAGGAGACCUCACACUAUGGCUGCUUCUCCAUUUGAUUCCAUCUACUAGAUGGGAUGAUGCAUAGCUAUUUCAGGUAAAUUUUUCAGAUUAGUGGUUUAGAGUCAUUGUUUUAGUUUUAUUAAGGAAAAUGUUAAAUGUUCUAAAAAUAAAGCAGUUAUUUUCACUACCUCUUUUUUCUCUUAGUAUUUUGAGGUCCUAUAUGCAGCUUCUAUCUUCACCUUUAUCAGGGAAUUGCCUAUAGCAUCACCUGGCACUGCUAACUUAGAUCAAGAAAUUGCGAUCCAGAGAAGGGAAGUGGCUUUGCCCCCAGCUACAGAAGUGGUAAAGGACCAACUGUCAAUGAAGACUUGAAUUUCCUCCUUCCCUCCCUCCUUCCUUUUCUCCCUCCCUCCCUCUCUUUCUUUCUUUCUUUCUUUCUUUCUUUCUUUCUUUUCUUUCUUUCUUUCUUUCUUUCCUUUCUUUCUUUUAGAGAGAGAGAGAGAGAGCGCACAAGCAGGGGGAGGGGCAGAGGGAGAGGGAGAAGUAGACUCCCCCCACUGAGCAGGGAGCCUGACACAGGGCUCAAUCCCAGGAUCCUGGGACCAUGACCUGAGCCAAAGGCAGAUGUUUAAUUGACUGAGCAACCCAGGCGUCUCUCCUUCAUUUCUUUAAAGCCUCGUCCUUAAAAGUCAC